UAAAAACACAACAAACAUACCCAGGAAGAAUUGCUCAGCUAACAUUGCUCCUGAUAUACCACCAUCACCUUUUGCUCAGGCUGAUGGAUCACAAAACAUCACAUUUGUGGUGCAAAUAACAAAAUCAAGCAGCAACUACACACAAGUUUCAAGUCUUCACAGCCAGCAAUUUCGCCUUUUGGAGAAGGGAGGAAAGAGUGGACAUGUGUUUUUACCAGGACUGCUGCCAUCCCAAGUCCUCACAGCUUACAUACUGCCUCAUUUGUCCCUAUGCCAGCCAGAGUUGUUCAUAUGGAUGGGGUUGAUGUCGUACUGCCUACUGUUCAUUUAUAAAGACAAUAAACUCA